AUGGGGGAAAUGCCGUUGGAAUUGAGAAGGACACAGAUAAUGAUGACAUAUUGGGCCAGUCUGCAAGGACAUAUCAAUCAUCCAACAAUAAGUGCAAUUGAGCCGUGCUGGGAACAUGAUAAAGCGCCAUCAAAGAGCUUUGGUUGGGUUGCUAGGGAGAAGGCUAGGGAACUAGGUAUACUAAAUAGGAGUUACUCUCCAGCAGUGGUGCAGCCAGCUGUUCCUCCUUGGUUACUGCCACAGCCUGAAGUGGACCUGGGACUACUUGAACUGAUGAGAUAUGAGGGUGGGGGUAAAUGUAAGAUCUGCAAGUCUUAUAUCAGGAGGAAUUACCAUAGCUAUAUACAAAUAUAUACAGACAGAGCUAAGGACCCUGAAACUGGUAGAACAGCAGCUGCAGCAGUAAUACCAGAAUUCCAGUAUGAGUGUGGGAAAAGACUCAGUAAUGACCUAUCAGUGUUUACAUGCGAGAUGAUGGCCAUAGUUUUUGCACUACAGUGGGUAGAGGACGUCAGGCCAGAGAGAGUGGUAAUAGCAUCAGACUCAUGUGCAGUGCUAACGAGUCUGAAGUUUUGCCACUCCAAAAGCAGAGAAGAUUUAAUGUUCGAAAUCCUACAAUCUCUAUUCAGAACCCAUCAAAUGCCGAUGGCAGUUAGGUUUGUGUGGGUCCCUGCCCAUGUUGGAGUCGAGGGAAAUGAGGAGGCGGAUAAAGCAGCAAAAAGGGCGCUGAAGUGUGGGAGAAAUAUAGUCAAAAUAAAGAUGAGUAAGGCAGAAGCUAAAGGGGUGAUUAAGGGACAAAUCAAAACGAUAUGGCAGAAUGAAUGGAAUAAAGGGAGAAAAGGAAGAUAUCUGUUUAAAAAUAAACCAUUGGUUGGGAGUGUAGGAGCUGGUGGACGAAAUAGAAAAGAGGAGAGGGUAAUGACAAGGCUAAGAAAUGGCCAUACUGGUCUUAACAGUUCCCUCUAUACGGUUGGGAAACAUCGAAAUGGAAGGUGCGAAUACUGUCAAGAAGAGGAAACUGUGGACCAUGUUUUGAUGGCAUGUCAGAGGUACGAGGCAGAGAGAGAAGUCCUGAGAAAGGGGCUAAGAGAGCUGGGAGAGGCAAAUAUAAGCGAAAUACUGAAGGAGGGCAUUAGGGACAAGUGUUGGGAACUGCUGUUGGCAUAUUUAGAGAAUACAAGACUAAUGAAUAGAAUUUGA
ensembl:lncRNA